UGUUCUGUAAUUAGCUCGGUAAUGACACCCGUUCCGGUGGCCCUGUAGCUCGUUCCGCUGGUUAGCGGUAGCUGUCGUCCGGUUGGCCUAAAGCUUGGUCUAAACGUACAAGAGAAACCCGUCCGCGUGUUUCCGACACCAGGAGGUGAGCAACUUAUUUGAUGCUAACCAAGAGGGCUAGCAUCAAACCAGCUCGAGCUAACGUCGCUGAAGUGUGAAGACUGAAGCAUGUGUUUCGGGAGACUGAAAAGUUGAACAAGUUUGUCAAGCAAUGACGUUAAUUCUAGCUGAAGCGUAAAAAAAGCUGAAGCCGUGGUCAACUCAACCAGUUCAAUAACCUUCUCAUUGAGCUUUGAGCUAUUAGAAAGCAACGUUGGCUCCAUAGGGGCCGGUUAAACAAAGACAUGUAGACGAGAAGCCUGGCUUACAUAUGCUCUGCGUGUAUUAAGAGCAUUGGAAGCGUCUCUGUUGAACUGUUCGAGCACCCACAGGUGUGUCUCUGACGUCACUUGGCCGAGGCCUGCUUCCAUGUGAACAAGUAUUACAACAUUACAACUGAACUGGCAGUGCAUGUGUGUUCUUCCAGUAAGCUUCAGCGAGAGGAGCCGAGAACUGAGUGACUUUGAUUUGAGUUAACUCCACACGCUCAGAGAAAGCAUGACCGCCGUGGUCACCCGAGCGUGGGGCUGGGUACGCUCAUGGGGCAGCAGCACCAUGUCAGAGAAUACCACAGCGGUGAUAACCAGGGGCCAGAAUCCCGGCAUGGGGGGGUGGACCUCUUGGAUGUGGGGAGGUGGGAGAUUUCAAAGUGACCAAAGUAGUCCAGCAGAGGAGUACUGGGAGGCACAGGAGAAGCUCCAGCCCGUGGCAAUAGAAGUCCUCAGCUCUGGGAAACAGGAGAGAGAGCAUGUUUCUAGAUGGUGGAAUAAAUAUCUCCCAACUUCUUAUCUUUCAUGGCCAAGAAAAACAGAACCAAGUGGAUUAAGACAAAGGAAACGUGAGGGUCGGAGUGGAGAUGUGUGUGACUGUGAUGUUGAUGGGGACUUUUCUGACUACGGAACGCCUCCUCCGUCUCCUACGCCUUCUUCCUCUGAGCUGACAUCUCCUUUCCGAAUCUUUGCGCACAGCUUGAAGGUGGAAGUCCUUCCGGAGCACUACGAGAUUUGUUUCAACUUCCUCCGCCACUUGUUUGAUCUGUUUGUUGUUGGCUUUCUGUGGACUGUGUCCCCCCCUGCCAAGCUGAUCCUGGAGGUGUUGGGGGUCCAAGGAGCGCUGAGGCUGUGGUUCCACGGUAUGGCCAUGUUUUUUGUUUCCACAGUUGGAAUGGCAGGAUUGCUCUGGUUGAUCCAGGAGUAUCUUCCUCAGUUUGCCUUGAUCUAUGGCAUCAUCCAGGCAUUGGUGAUCUCUGUCAGUGUUCGUCAGAGUGUGAUCCUCGGCGUAGAGGAAGAAAAAGAUGACUUUGACGUGGAGGGCAAGGAGAACGAAGACAUGAAAGACAGUGUGGAACCUAAAGAACAGCGUGUGUCUGUUAAGGACAAGGUUAAGACAAGUUAAAUGUAAGACGCAGUGUGUUCAGGAGUCCAGCGACACCAGGCCAGCUGUGUUCACUGCACCUCUGUGUUCUGCACGGUCUUAACAGUUGGAUUGCACCUUCAUCACAAACUCAUAGAAGCUUUACUCAUGUCACUUUAUUUUCAACACUAUUGAUGUGUCCUCAGUGUUGUCACCAGGAUGUUCACAGUACAACGUUUAGUAUCAGAAAGUAAACUACUCCUAAAAUGGUGGUCAGUAAUAAAAGGAGUCAUGAAUGUUCAAGAAAGAGAAAGAUUCACUCUGUCUUCUUGUCCUGUGGGAGUACUUCUCUCACUGUUCACCAUGACACGGUUUCACUGAUGAUUCACUGCCUGAUCUGCAUUCUGGGUGUGAAGAAAGGAACACAGUUGAACCCCAAACAACGAAAUUAUUAAAAAAAUGUAGGCAUUGGCACAAGAAGAAAAGAAAUGCAAACAAACUGGUCAAAGGAACACCUGGUAGGGGACUGGAAGAAGCUGUGUUUCAGGACAGAGUUUUCAGAUCCACUCAGUUAACAUAAAGUAUCUCAACAAUAUCACAGUGCACCUGAUGGUCAGGUCAAAAGGGUCCAAAAUGUUUUCUGAAGGACCAAACUUCUCUGUUCCCUCUGUCGAAAGCUUUCAUAAUGAAGUCCAUAUUAAGAGAAACUGGAAUCAGUUCUAUCCAGGUGGACUGCACUUUCACCAUAGACUGUCUGUGUUCUGAAGCUUGAAUUUGGGUUUUGUCUUUGGCCACCAUCUUGAGGCAAAGUCACAUUAAAUGUCUCCCCAGCAAAUAUUCCUCCUACCUCUCCUUUAAUUCAACUGCAGCGUGAGAGACAGACGGAGUCAGGGUGGAUCCACGUGAUGACAGCUUUGGUGUCGUUUCCAGCUGGCUCCAAUAGACCUGCUUGAAUUUGUCCAUCAACCCUGGUUGAACUUUCACCAGCAAUUCCCACGUCGAGGACUGAAACACUGCACUGUAUUUGGAAUAUUCUCGCACGGCAUCAUCCCCUAGUUUUCUACAAUAUGACACUCCAGGACCACGGCUUUGUUUACAGUCGGAUCAUGCUGAGUAAUGUUUCUGUGUUACUCACGUCACACCUGUGACAUCGCGUCUCUUGUUGAACAGAAGGCUAAUGUUUCUUUUUACUGGAGCGGAAAUCCGAAUGAGCUCCGUGUCAAUGAGAGGAUGGAUGAGCUCGGAGAAACCCGCCCUGCUGACUGAUGGACCUUUUAGACUCACACUAUUAAAGCCAUGAGGUCUCCCGACUCCACUUUGGCCUCAAAGUUUGUCACAGAUAAAAAUGUGUAUUUGGAGGCCCAGGACUAAAUGAAUGAAAUGCUACGAUGUUCGAUGUUCAGUUUAUUUCUUGGAACAAAUGUCUAAUUGCUGUUGAAGUGGUUUCAGCACUUGUUAAAUACUAUAAAUUGAUAUAACGUUCAUCACUUUGGUUUACCAUCACGCUGUUAAAGAGGCAUACAGUACUUUAUAUAACAUGACCUCAUUAGAACAUGGCAAUAUGAUUGUUGCCUGUCAAAGGAAUUACCCAUUUAGCGAUUUUAAGUGACACAUAACACCACAAGCACAUUUUCAUGUGUUUCCUGCACAAUAGUUUUUUACUUCAUGUCUAUUUCUUCUGCUAUAAUAUUGCAAAUAUAUUUCAAACUGAACUUUUCACCACAAGUCUGCAUUUUUAUGGGCUUUAUCUUCCUAAUGCUUAAGAUUUAAAAAGGUACAAAAAUGAUAUGUUUGUUUUAGUGCAAAAUAGCAUGUCUUGCAUUCAACACUAAUAUGUUAUUAGCCACUUUUUGACUUGGAUCAGACAUUCUCUAUAUAGCAUGUGCCUCUAAUCCAUUUAUUCAAAAACAUGGCUACGUUUGCUGACCUGUAUCACAGCCUGUAAGAUGUGGAAGCCUGUGGCUGACAUUGUCAUUAAAUAAUCUUAUUGAGA